AUUGUGGGCGUUGGAGACGCUGACUUUUCUGAUAUGGAGCGACUUGAUGCUGACGAUAAAUUGUUAUCCCUCGGCAAUCGCAAAGCAAAGAGAGACAUUGUUCAAUUUGUUCCCUUCAGAGAUUUCAAGAAUGGUGGAGCUGGCAGACUAGCUGCUCAUGUCCUGAAAGAGGUUCCGACUCAACUUAUGGACAUGUAUAAUGAUAUUCUGAAGGUUCCACCCAUGUACCAACCAUUUUACGGACCCCCCACUUGAUAAGGCUCUGCUCUUUCACUCCUGAUACACAAUAUUAUGUAGUACUUGUUUAGUUCAUUUUUAAAUAUUGAUUGUAUUGUUAUCCCAACCGUAUCUAGAUUAAUUGUAUUAUUCGAUAUUUUGAAAUAUUGACCAUUUCCUUUAAAAAAAGGAAACUAAACAUUUUAUAUUAUGGGUUUUACGUUUCUAGGUGUUAAUUGCUGUUCCAUUAUGAAUUCUCAUAGACUCGUAAAGUUAAUUGAACUACAUAGUUCAAUUGUACUUACAUAGAUUGAAGAAUUUGCGCUAUGAAUAGCAAUAAGCAUUUCUGGGUACCAAGGUCAGCUCUAACUACUCAUCAGUAAAACUUUGGACGGGUUAUUGAUCAUCUGAUAUCUUAAAUAAUAAUUCAGAAUUACGGAAUUAUUUCAUAUUAUAUAUAUAAUCAAUCGCUGAAUCAGACAUGAUAGGAUAGUUGAUAGUGUAAUUUGUAGUGAUCCUUGGGCUAGAUACAAUUUAGAACACUAAUUUACACUAUAGGUUAGCUAAGAACUUUUAUACUUAGUGCAAUAUACAUAGUAAUACUAAUAUACAAAUUUGAUGAAUAUGUGUUAUUAGAAAUAUGUAUUAUAAAGUUUCUAUGAUGUUAUUGGAUUCUCUACUUUGACCCCGCAA